AGUGAACGCUGGCGGUAGGCCUAACACAUGCAAGUCGAACGGCAGCACAGUAAGAGCUUGCUCUUACGGGUGGCGAGUGGCGGACGGGUGAGGAAUACAUCGGAAUCUACUUUUUCGUGGGGGAUAACGUAGGGAAACUUACGCUAAUACCGCAUACGACCUACGGGUGAAAGCAGGGGAUCUUCGGACCUUGCGCGAUUGAAUGAGCCGAUGUCGGAUUAGUUAGUUGGCGGGGUAAAGGCCCACCAAGGCGACGAUCCGUAGCUGGUCUGAGAGGAUGGUAGGCCACACUGGAACGGAACCACGGUCAAGAGUCCUACGGGAGGCAGCAGUGGGGAAUAUUGGACAGUGGGCGCAAGCCUGAUCCAACCAUACCGCGUGGGUGAAGAAGGCCUUCGGGUUGUAAAGCCCUUUUGUUGGGAAAGAAAAGCAGCAGGUUAAUACCCCGCUGUUCUGACGGUACCCAAAGAAUAAGCACCGGCUAACUUCGUG
rnacentral:rRNA from 1 species